rnacentral:rRNA from 1 species
UUGAACGCUGGCGGAAUGCUUUACACAUGCAAGUCGAGCGGCAGCGCGGGGGCAACCCUGGCGGCGAGCGGCGAACGGGUGAGUAACAUAUCGGAACGUACCCAGUAGUGGGGGAUAACUAUCCGAAAGGAUAGCUAAUACCGCAUACGCCCUGCGGGGGAAAGUGGGGGAUCGCAAGACCUCACGUUAUUGGAGCGGCCGAUAUCGGAUUAGCUAGUUGGUGGGGUAAAGGCUCACCAAGGCGACGAUCCGUAGCGGGUCUGAGAGGACGACCCGCCACACUGGAACUGAGACACGGUCCAGACUCCUACGGGAGGCAGCAGUGGGGAAUUUUGGACAAUGGGGGCAACCCUGAUCCAGCCAUUCCGCGUGAGUGAAGAAGGCCUUCGGGUUGUAAAGCUCUUUCGGCAGGAACGAAACGGUGAGCUCUAACAUAGCUUGCUAAUGACGGUACCUGAAGAAGAAGCACCGGCUAACUACGU